AGGGUGUAAACGCUGCAGACUUGGUGUUGGAAGCCCUUUGGGGGCAUUCAGUGCCGGAGAGAAGUUGUUAAGUCUGCUACUUGGGGAGUACGUCCGCAAGGAUGAAACUUAAAGGAAUUGGCGGGGGAGCACCGCAACGGGAGGAGCGUGCGGUUUAAUUGGAUUCAACACCGUAAAACUCACCAGGGAAGACUGUUACAUGAAGGCCGAGAUGAAGACUCUGCCAGAUUUCCAGAGAGGAGGUGCAUGGCGUCAGUGACU
rnacentral:rRNA from 1 species